rnacentral:rRNA from 1 species
GAUGAACGCUGGCGGCGUGCCUAAUACAUGCAAGUCGAGCGAACAGACGAGGAGCUUGCUCCUCUGACGUUAGCGGCGGACGGGUGAGUAACACGUGGAUAACCUACCUAUAAGACUGGGAUAACUUCGGGAAACCGGAGCUAAUACCGGAUAAUAUAUUGAACCGCAUGGUUCAAUAGUGAAAGACGGUUUUGCUGUCACUUAUAGAUGGAUCCGCGCCGGAUUAGCUAGUUGGUAAGGUAACGGCUUACCAAGGCAACGAUGCGUAGCCGACCUGAGAGGGUGAUCGGCCACACUGGAACUGAGACACGGUCCAGACUCCUACGGGAGGCAGCAGUAGGGAAUCUUCCGCAAUGGGCGAAAGCCUGACGGAGCAACGCCGCGUGAGUGAUGAAGGUCUUCGGAUCGUAAAGCUCUGUUAUUAGGGAAGAACAAAUGUGUAAGUAACUAUGCACGUCUUGACGGUACCUAAUCAGAAAGCCACGGCUAACUACGUG